CCAGUAACCCAUGUGGAAUCAUUGUAUUUUAAAAACGACUUUACUGACUUCCACUGUGGAUGUGUUCCGAUGUCCAAGGUGAUGAUCUGAUGUUUUGUUAUUUACUGAAAUAUUCAACUAUGUUAUAGAUUUUACAUUACCGCGGAAUAUUCCAGGUUUAUUGCUGAACGCCUGCAUGAUGUUAAUUAUGAAGUCUAUGAUGCUGAUCCAACAAUAGGCAACUCUUCAGAAUCUAAUUGUUGUGCUUCGGUGGUUGAUUACACUACAGGUAAAAACAUCAUCAGGUGUAAUAAGGGCGUCCAAGGUAGAUUUGUGAAGAUUUCCAUAGAAAAGUCCAAUUUCUUAACUCUGUGUGAAGUGGAAAUUUAUGGCACCCUUGUGAAUGGAACGAGUGACACCUGUAAUCAAAGAUAUGAAUGUAAUAAAUUACCAGG